rnacentral:rRNA from 1 species
UCUACGGGCGGCAGCAGUGAGGAAUAUUGGUCAAUGGGCGGGAGCCUGAACCAGCCAAGUCGCGUGAGGGAAGAAGGUACUGAGUAUUGUAAACCUCUUUUGCCAGGGGACAAAGGAGGCCACGGGUGGCCGUAAGAGGGUACCUGGAGAAAAAGCAUCGGCUAACUCCGUGCCAGCAGCCGCGGUACUCCGGAGGAUGCGAGCGUUAUCCGGAUUUAUUGGGUUUAACGGGUGCGCAGGGGGCGUGUCAAGUCAGCGGUAACAUGUCGGGGCUCAACCCCGGCCGGCCGUUGAAACUGGCGUGCGCGAUUUGGAGAGAAGUAUGCGGAAUUCGUGGUGUAGCGGUGACAUGCAUAGAUAUCACGCAGAACUCCGAUUGCGAAGGCAGCAUACCGGCGCCCGACUGACGCUGAGGCACGAAAGCGUGGGGAUCGAACAGGAUUAGAUACCCUGGUAGUC